UGACACCCGUAUAUGGGGAGACCGCGAAAGAGCUGAAAGGGAUACAUUUGCGGUGAGCUUAAACGCGUUGGAAUUUUUGCUGUGUCUUCAAUCAAACAGAUUUGGAGAUCACAUCACGAAGCUCUUUGUGGACAAGUCCACAUGAUUUUCUGGUCCUUU